rnacentral:rRNA from 1 species
GUAGGGCGCAAGCGUUAUCCGGAAUUAUUGGGCGUAAAGAGCUCGUAGGCGGUUUGUCGCGUCUGCCGUGAAAGUCCGGGGCUCAACUCCGGAUCUGCGGUGGGUACGGGCAGACUAGAGUGAUGUAGGGGAGACUGGAAUUCCUGGUGUAGCGGUGAAAUGCGCAGAUAUCAGGAGGAACACCGAUGGCGAAGGCAGGUCUCUGGGCAUUAACUGACGCUGAGGAGCGAAAGCGUGGGGGGCGAACGGG